AACGAGUUCUUCAAGCCAUUCAAUGUUAGCUACAACCACCGAGCUCUGAUCAUUGAUGGCAAGCGUCGGAUGCUUAACUCGCCGAAAUUCACUACCCUCGCGCCACUCCUGAGACGUGGCCUGAUUUGAUUGCUAAGAGCAAGGAAGGUGGGGCAGAUGUCAUCCAAACUUAUACAUUUUGGAAUGGACAUGAACCAGUCAGAGGACAGUAUAAUUUUGAAGGGAGAUAUGAUCUCGUUAAGUUUGUGAAGCUAGUGGAAUCCAAUGGACUUUAUCUUCACCUUCGAAUAGGUCCUUACGUC